rnacentral:rRNA from 1 species
AACCUUCGGCAAUGGGCGAAAAGCCUGACCGAUCGACGCCGCGUGUGGGAAGAAGGCCUCGGGUCGUAAACCUCUGUCCUUGGGGAAGAAGGUGACGGUACCCCAGGACGAAGCCCCGGCUAACUACGUUCCAGCAGCCGCGGUAAUACGUAGGGGGCGAGCGUUAUCCGGAAUUACUGGGCGUAAAGGGUGCGUAGGCGGCCUUUUAAGUCAGAUGUGAAAGGCUACGGCUUAACCGUAGUUAGCAUUUGAAACUAAAAGGCUUGAGUGCAGGAGAGGAGAGUGGAAUUCCUAGUGUAGCGGUGAAAUGCGUAGAUAUUAGGAGGAACACCAGUGGCGAAGGCGACUCUCUGGACUGCAACUGACGCUGAGGCACGAAAGCGUGGGGAGCGAAC